rnacentral:rRNA from 1 species
GUCUUCGGACAUUAGUGGCGGACGGGUGAGUAACGCGUGAGGAUCUGCCCUCAGGAUGGGGACAACAGUUGGAAACGACUGCUAAUACCCGAUGUGCCGGAAGGUGAAACUAUUUGGCCUGAGGAUGAGCUCGCGUCUGAUUAGCUAGUUGGAGUGGUAACGGCACACCAAGGCGACGAUCAGUAGCUGGUCUGAGAGGAUGAUCAGCCACACUGGGACUGAGACACGGCCCAGACUCCUACGGGAGGCAGCAGUGGGGAAUUUUCCGCAAUGGGCGAAAGCCUGACGGAGCAAGACCGCGUGGGGGACGAAAGUUUGUGGAUUGUAAACCCCUUUUGAUUGGGAAAAAGUUCUGACGGUACCAAUCGAAUCAGCAUCGGCUAACUCCGUGCCAGCAGCCGCGGUAAUACGGAGGAUGCAAGCGUUAUCCGGAAUUAUUGGGCGUAAAGCGUCCGUAGGUGGUUGGUCAAGUCAGUUGUUAAAGCGUGGGGCUUAACCCCAUAAAGGCAAAUGAAACUGACUAGCUAGAGUGCGAUAGGGGCAAGGGGAAUUCCCAGUGUAGCGGUGAAAUGCGUAGAUAUUGGAAAGAACACCGGUGGCGAAAGCGCCUUGCUGGGUCUGCACUGACACUGAGGGACGAAAGCUAGGGGAGCGAAAGGGAUUAGAUACCCCUGUAGUCCUAGCCGUAAACGAUGGAUACUAGGCGUUGUCCGUAUCGACCCGAGCCGUGCCG